rnacentral:rRNA from 1 species
CAGUAGCCACGGUAAUACGGAGGGUGCAAGCGUUAUCCGGAUUUAUUGGGUUUAAAGGGUCCGUAGGCGGAUCUGUAAGUCAGUGGUGAAAUCUCACAGCUUAACUGUGAAACUGCCAUUGAUACUGCAGGUCUUGAGUAAAUUUGAAGUGGCUGGAAUAAGUAGUGUAGCGGUGAAAUGCAUAGAUAUUACUUAGAACACCAAUUGCGAAGGCAGGUCACUAAGAUUUAACUGACGCUGAUGGACGAAAGCGUGGGGAGCGAACAGGAUUAGAUACCCGAGUAGUCCCUGUCUCUUAUAC